rnacentral:rRNA from 1 species
AUACGGAGGAUCCGAGCGUUAUCCGGAUUUACUGGGUUUAAAGGGUGCGUAGGCGGGCGCCUAAGUCAGCGGUGAAAUGCAGCGGCUCAACCGUUGAACUGCCGUUGAAACUGGGCGCCUUGGAUGCGGUCGAGGCCGGCGGAAUGCGUGGUGUAGCGGUGAAAUGCUUAGAUAUCACGCAGAACGCCAAUUGCGAAGGCAGCGGGCCGGGCCGCAAUCGACGCUGAGGCACGAAAGCGUGGGGAUCAAACAGGAUUAGAUACCCUGGUAGUCCACGCCGUAAACGAUGAUGGCUAGCUGUUGGCGAUACACAGUCAGCGGCUGAGCGAAAGCGGUAAGCCAUCCACCUGGGGAGUACGGUCGCAAGAUUGAAACUCAAAGGAAUUGACGGGG